rnacentral:rRNA from 1 species
UACGGGGGGAGCAAGCGUUGUUCGGAUUUACUGGGCGUAAAGGGCGCGUAGGCGGCCUGUUAAGUCGAACGUGAAAUCCCCGGGCUCAACCCGGGAACUGCGUCCGAAACUGGCAGGCUCGAAUUCGGGAGAGGGAUGCGGAAUUCCAGGUGUAGCGGUGAAAUGCGUAGAUAUCUGGAGGAACAUCGGUGGCGAAGGCGGCAUCCUGGACCGAUAUUGACGCUGAGGCGCGAAAGCCAGGGGAGCAAACGGG